AAGUCGUAACAAGGUUUCCGUAGGUGAACCUGCGGAAGGAUCAUUAACACGUAUCCACGUUCUAUAAACUAAUCCGCUGCAUUGAACUCCCUCUCUAUUCUAAGUCAAGGCUGUUGUUCAUGGUAUUUUGGUGGGUCCGUACUCUUUCGGGAGAUGGGGCAUAUACUGUGAGACUAUCACUCCCAUUCGUGGAGAGUGUGGCUGAGGAAUUGAAUAGAAGGCUUUCCUCAUUCCUGUGGCCAACCACUCUUGGUCCAUGGAUUUGAUACCCAUACCCUAUUUCACCCUAUUUUACCCUAUUUGACUAAUUUACAUUCAUUCAGAGAAAUCUGUUUUGAAUUCUAAGAUAUUAUCUUAACUAAGCACAACUCUUAGCAAUGGAUAUCUUGGUUCUC
rnacentral:misc_RNA from 1 species